CUGGCUCAGGAUGAACGCUAGCUACAGGCUUAACACAUGCAAGUCGAGGGGCAGCAUUGGAGUAGCAAUACUCAGAUGGCGACCGGCGCACGGGUGAGUAACACGUAUCCAACCUGCCGCUUACUCGGGGAUAGCCUUUCGAAAGAAAGAUUAAUACCCGAUGGUAUAAAGAGUUCGCAUGUUCUCUUUAUUAAAGAAUUUCGGUAAGCGAUGGGGAUGCGUUCCAUUAGAUAGUUGGCGGGGUAACGGCCCACCAAGUCUACGAUGGAUAGGGGUUCUGAGAGGAAGGUCCCCCACAUUGGAACUGAGACACGGUCCAAACUCCUACGGGAGGCAGCAGUGAGGAAUAUUGGUCAAUGGGCGGGAGCCUGAACCAGCCAAAGUCGCGUGAAGGAAGACUGCCCUAUGGGUUGUAAACUUCUUUUAUAAGGGAAUAAAGUGAGGGACGUGUCCCUUUUUGUAUGUACCUUAUGAAUAAGGAUCGGCUAACUCCGUGCCAGCAGCCGC
rnacentral:rRNA from 1 species